rnacentral:pre_miRNA from 1 species
AAAGUACUCCCUCCAUCCCAAAAUUCUUGGCUUAGAUUUGUCUAGAUACGGAUGUAUCAAGUCACAUUUUAGUAUUAGAUACAUCCAUAUCUAGGCAAAUCUAAGACAAGAAAUUUGGGACAGAGGGAGUAGUUG